GAUGAAGAACGUAGCGAAAUGCGAUAAGUAAUGUGAAUUGCAGAAUUCAGUGAAUCAUCGAAUCUUUGAACGCACAUUGCGCCCGCCAGUAUUCUGGCGGGCAUGCCUGUUCGAGCGUCAUUUCCACCAUCAGGCCCCCGGGCCUGUGUUGGGGACCUGCGGCUGCCCGCAGGCCCCGAAAUUCAGUGGCGGUCGCGCCGUAGCAACCGAGCGUAGUAACUAAAACGUCUCGCUCUGGCUCGCUGGGCGCGCUCCGGCCGUAAAACACCCCCCCUUUUCGCAAAGGUUGACCUCGGAUCAGGUAGGAAUACCCGCUGAACCUAAGCAUAUCAAUAAGCGGAGGA
rnacentral:misc_RNA from 1 species